AUGGUAUGGUACCCUUCUGAAGCGUCUUUGGUCCUAGAUGAGUUGAGUUUAGACUCAGAGGUAGAAGCUAUUACAGGCACAAGUAAGGCCCUUUUGCUUGCAGACCAGACCUAUUCGGAUGAGUCCUCUUUGGAGGUAGAAGGCACCUCAAAGACAAACAUCACCUGCUCAUACUCAUGCCAGGCCAAAACUGAUGCACUUUUCCAACUUAAUGAGUUGGCUUCAGACUCAGAGGUGGAAAGCAUUAUGGAGACAAACACAGCCCUUUUGGUAACAGACCAGACCUGUUCAGAUACAGAUGAGUCCUUUUUGGAUAUAAAUGAGUUGUCUUCAGAUUCAGAGGUAGUUACACUAUAUCCAACUGAUCCCUGUGUGAUUAUAAACUGCCAUCAGAGUAGUAAAAGUGAUUAAUCAUAUUGUGAUUUCCAUCCGCAAAAGAGGGCAUCAAUUACCGAUGACCAAUACCGUGACCUUAAAUACCCUAGUGUGCAGAGUGUAAGUCAGACAACUUUAGUUCUUAGUAUAAUGUUUACGUUUUUUUGCAGAGGGUAAGUGAAAUAUAAAUAUAAUUAAGAUGGAUGUGUCUACUGCACACUAACAAACCUAGGUAAUCUAACUACAUAAAAUAUAUACCUGUGUUUAGUCUUAAAAUUUCACAAUCAGUGCUACACUGCGAUAAUGAUUCUACAUAAUAUUUGUUCAAAGUCCCACCGAGAUGCUUUGAAAUAGCCUUGAGUUAUUCAGUGUGUUAAUGUAAUUUCCACUGAAACAGGAAGUUAUGGACAAUAUUGUUUCAUUCAUGUCACAUCCCAGUAAAGCUGUAGGUGACAGCCAUAGUUGAAUUAAAAAUCAAGCCUAAUAAGAUUCUACCUUUAAAUUUCAUAUGAAACUCUUAGUACAGCAAAGUAGUUAUUGUUAUUAAAGCUGAUAAUGUGUCAUUUGAAAAGCAGAGGUGUUCUCUUCUAAACAUCCAUUAUGAGUGCAUGAUGAUUUCAAAUGGAAAACUGUUAUGUGUUAAUGCUUCAUUAUUUAUACAACACAACGUUGAUUACAACUCAUAGGCUAUCUGCACAAAAUGCCCCGAAUGCAGAAGUGAACAUGUCUGUGCGUCUCUGAAUUAACUUUUUUGUAACCUCCGUGAAGUUGGCCCCCACCCAAUGCAAAACGUCAGCAAAAUAGUCUCAAUCGUUUGUGAUCCGUUUUGCUGGUUUGUGCUGUAAACAUUUUUGUUUGUGCUGCUUUGGUAUUUUAGAUAUUACAAUAAUAUUUAUAGGUCAAUCUGAGGUCACUCAGCCCCUCUUACAUACUCCAAAUUCACCCAAAUAGACUCGUUUGUUAGUGCUUCGUUUGUGCUGGUUUGUGGUGCUUCGUUUGUGCUGGUUUGUGCCGGUAAAGGUUUCGUUUGUGCUGCUUUUUUUUUGGUUUUUCCAAAAUUAGACAUUGAAUUAUAGGUGAUGACGUCACUCAGCCCCCCACAUACUCCAAAUUCACCGCAUAUAGUCUUGUUUGUUUGUGCUUCAUUUGUGCCAGUAAUAUUUUCAUUUGUGCUGCUUGGUUUUUUAGAUAUUAAAAUAAUAUUUAUAGGUCAUUCUAUUGAGGCGCCCAUGUAAUCCCUCAGAAUUGUUAAUUUUUUUCCUGCAGAAAGAAUUUUUUUGGAUGUGCUUUCU
rnacentral:lncRNA from 1 species